rnacentral:rRNA from 1 species
UACGUAGGGUGCGAGCGUUGUCCGGAGUCAUUGGGCGUAAAGAGCGCGCAGGCGGCUUGGCAAGUCGGGUGUGAAAUCCCGGGGCUCAACCCCGGGACUGCAUUCGAUACUGUCAGGCUAGAGGUAGGUAGGGGAGAUCGGAAUUCCUGGUGUAGCGGUGAAAUGCGCAGAUAUCAGGAGGAACACCGGUGGCGAAGGCGGAUCUCUGGGCCUUACCUGACGCUCAGGCGCGAAAGCUAGGGGAGCGAACAGG